GAUAGGCUAAUUAAGGGCGUAUGGGGAAUGCCUAGGCUCUCAGAGGCGAAGAAGGACGUGAUAAGCUGCGAAAAGCUACGGUUAGUGGCACAUACACUUUGAUCCGUAGAUAUCCCAAUGGGGCAACCCGGCAUAUUGAAGAUAUGUCAUCCGACCUAGUCGGAAGCAAACCCGGAGAACUGAAACAUCUAAGUACCCGGAGGAGAAGAAAACAAAAGUGAUUCCGUUAGUAGUGGCGAGCGAAAGCGGAA
rnacentral:rRNA from 1 species